UACCAGCACCCCGAGUGGUCGGGACGAUUAUUGGGCCUAAAGCAUCCGUAGCCGGUUCUACAAGUCUUCCGUUAAAUCCACCUGCUUAACAGAUGGGCUGCGGAGGAUACUACAAGGCUAGGAGGCGGAAGAGGCAAGCGGUACUCAGUGGGUAGGGGUAAAAUCCGUUGAUCCAUUGAAGACCACCAGUGGCGAAGGCGGCUUGCCAGAACGCACUCGACGGUGAGGGAUGAAAGCUGGGGGAGCAAACCGG
rnacentral:rRNA from 1 species